rnacentral:lncRNA from 1 species
CUCGUUAAAGUAUCGAGCCAAAAAAUUAAGCUUUUGUUCGGCUCGUUAAUAAACAAGCCAAAUACGAGUUGGCUCACGAGCUGGCCAACGAACAAUAAGUUAAAAGGAUUAGAUUGAAUAUAUAUAAAAAAUAAAUUUAUAAAAUCUUAUCCAUUAGAUUUGAUCUAAUAGUUGAAACUUUACAUAUAAAUGAGUUUUUUUAUAAUUAAGCUCUUCUUUAUAUUUUUAUUUUACUAAAAAUUAAAUAAUAAAAAUAUAUAUUAUAUAUAUAAUUAUUUAUUUAUAUAUAAAUAUAAAUUAAAUAAAUUAUAUAAAUAUAAAAUAUAUAUAUUUGAGCUGUUAUCGGGCCGAACACGAACGAGCUGACCCCAGCUCGUGUUCGGCUCGUUUAAUAAAUGAGCCGAAAAAUUCGGCUUGUGUUCGACUCGUUUACUAAACGAGCGAGUCGAUCUCGAGCUCAUUUCGAGCCAAACACGAGCUGGCUCGCGAACAGCGAGCUGGCUCACGAAUAGCGAGCUGGAUUGCCACCCCUACUUGUAACAUCCCAAUAGUCCCAUGUCCGAUGGAAAUGGACUUGUCAUUGAAUAUAUAUAAGAAGACUCUACCCUAAUAAUAAUAACCGGACUUAAGUAUUUUGAGUCAGUAGUUUUAGCCCAACAAAUUAUUAUUGAUAGCAGGUCAGGUCGUUACAUUUGGUUGAUAAUAACUGAGUUUAAGCAUUUUUAAAAGUUAGAAAAAAAAUUUAAAAAAAGAUAUUUAAAUUUUUUUUUUAUAAUUUAGCCAUAUAAAAAAUAUUCUUUUAAGAUUUUAAGUUUUUUUAAAAUAUAC